GCAUUGGAGUCGGGGCUGUUUCAUUGUUGCUGCCCCACGGGCUACAUGGUUGCACUGGAAGAGUUGUGACCCCCCUCCUUCGACACUUGGACAUAAUUUGUCCUGUCUCUUUCACCCUUGGAGAGCCUCACAGCUGGUCUGCAUGAUACCCGAUAUCAUUUUGAUGAUAAAUGAAGGCCUUUCUUAAAGUACAGUAUCUCUGUCCUGCGAUGGUGAACAGAAUGCCUCCUCCAAGGACAAGGCUUCCCUGUCUGGCCAGCCCUCUGGUCUUAUCAGAAGAAUCUCUUCUCUCUCACACUCUAUCCCACGUCUCAGCUGGAUGCAGGAUGAAUAAAAAUAUGCUUUCUGGUCCUCACACUUGGUUUUAUGUGAGUGAAUGCUGAUGGAAAUGGGUAAGUAAAUAGUUUUUAAGUGCAGUAGAUCAAAUUACUUCCUUCACAACUUGAAGUUCCUGACAUCUCUGGAAAUACCAGGCUUUUUUCAAAUGUGAAAGUGGGUUGAUCUUCACCUAGCUUCAGUUGAUUGCCAAAUUGUCAGCUUUCAAUAUAUCUUUUUAGUUUUUUGAAAAAAAAAUGUAAGUGAUUUGAUCCACCUUUGGGGGAAAUUUCCUUAGCUCAGAAAAUUCAAAACGAUGAACAUCUGUAAAUGCUUUUAUUUUUGACUUGAGUUACAUAGAGUAAGGGACAGAACUGUGCUUAAUGGGAAGUAGUUGUCUUUAAACAAUUGUCUCUUAAUGGUUUUUUCCUUUGUGUCCAAUAGUCUUUAUAUGUUAGUAUCAAGAAAUCAAAUUUGUUAAACUUUGUUACACAACUUCAUCCAAAGCAACCUGGUCUCCCAGGCUUAAAUUCCCCUGUUAUAUUUUCUCAUUGUACACUUAUCCUUCACAGCAUAUAACACAAGAGUCCUGAGCAAUUUAUUUGUGUAAUUAUUUGUUUAAUGUCUGUCUUUACUGAGAGAGAGUGAACUCCGGUAUGAUAGGGUCCAGACCUGUCUGACUCAGUGUUGCAGAUCAGUGUUUAGCAAAGAACAUACAGAGUAGAUGCUCAAGAAAUUUACUAAAUUUACUAAAUCAACAGAUAUUAAUACUUACUAGUAAAUUUUCUGUGCUUACUCUGCUUAGUUGCAAUAAGGUAAUCUAUUACAUAUUGCUUAAACCACUCUAUAUGUAAUAGUUAAAAUAGUAAAACUUGUGUACAUGGGGAAUGGAUUAAAAAUAAAAUUUAUCCUCACUGUCCUCUAUUGAACUCUAAAGGUUUCUAAAGAAAAUGACUUUCUCUUUUUAGCUAUUCAGAUAUUUACCAUCAUAUUUCUAAACAACACAAUCUAUUCUUGGUUUUCUUAAGACUUCAGAGAGUAUCUAUUGAUUUCCAGAUGAAAGAUGAGAAAUUUUAUGCACUCAUAUUUUUCUUUUUCCUUUCUCACUAUUUUCCCCUAAGUUUAGGGUUUGUUUUAUUGUUAUUGUUUUGUUGUUUUGAUUUAGUUCUUCUAUUGGUUACCUUUAUUUCUUAAUAUACUUAUUUUUUCUAGUCACCAGCUCUAGACUACUCUAUCUUCCUCAUAUUAGAUGCGAUGAAGAAAUCAGUGCACCUACACUUUCAGCGUUUCUUCCUCCUUGCUAAAUCAUUAUAUUUCAUAUUUUUAGAGUUUAAUACUAUUUAUAGACAAAAAUUAUUAUUAUAAUAACCUAACCUACGCACUGGUAUCAUUAUAUUUAUACCAUUUACAUUGGUUCUGUAUCCAAUAUCUUUCAUGAUUUGUCUAUAAUUUGAUUUAAAAACAUAAAUAUCUGGAAAGAAAACAAUAUUUAAAUAUUACUUUCACUAGAACAUAUAUGAUUAAGCACACAGAGCUGGUGAUAUAAUCCCAUAUAGUUCCAAACACCAAAGUCCAAAAGUUUAAUUUAUAUAGCAAAUAUUAUAUCUUACUUUAAAAUUAUUAUGAUAAAGAAAUAAAGUACAUAUAUGUUGUACAUAUUAUAUAUACCAAUAUUGUUCAAAUAAUAUUAUAUUUUAGCUUGUUUUAUAUUUCACCAUGACUUUUUCUUUACUUGUUUUCCCAUGCACACUGCCAUCCUCAAUGCACCUCCAAUUAAUAUAAUUUUUUUUCAUAAAGUCCUCUGAUUUCCUUCUGAUUUCUACUAAUUAUAUUUUUGACCUAUAGCUCACUCUGAGAUUUCUUUUAUUGUACCUCUGGAUUAGAUUAAGAUAUUCUUAGAUUCCUUUUCUUCCUCUUU
ensembl:lncRNA